rnacentral:rRNA from 1 species
GAUGAACGCUGGCGGCGUGCUUAACACAUGCAAGUCGAACGAAGCACUUUAACUCGAUUCUUCGGAUGAGGGUUUUUGUGACUGAGUGGCGGACGGGUGAGUAACGCGCGGGUAACCUGCCUCAUACCGGGGGAUAACUGUUAGAAAUGACUGCUAAUACCGCAUAACACCACGGAGCCGCAUGGCUCCGUGGGAAAAACUCCGGUGGUAUGAGAUGGACCCGCGUCUGAUUAGGUAGUUGGUGGGGUAACGGCCUACCAAGCCGACGAUCAGUAGCCGACCUGAGAGGGUGACCGGCCACAUUGGGACUGAGACACGGCCCAAACUCCUACGGGAGGCAGCAGUGGGGAAUAUUGCACAAUGGGGGAAACCCUGAUGCAGCGACGCCGCGUGAGCGAAGAAGUAUUUCGGUAUGUAAAGCUCUAUCAGCAGGGAAGAAAAUGACGGUACCUGACUAAGAAGCACCGGCUAAAUACGUGCCAGCAGCCGCGGUAAUACGUAUGGUGCAAGCGUUAUCCGGAUUUACUGGGUGUAAAGGGAGCGUAGACGGCUGUGUAAGUCUGAAGUGAAAGCCCGGGGCUCAACCCCGGGACUGCUUUGGAAACUAUGCAGCUAGAGUGUCGGAGAGGUAAGUGGAAUUCCCAGUGUAGCGGUGAAAUGCGUAGAUAUUGGGAGGAACACCAGUGGCGAAGGCGGCUUACUGGACGAUGACUGACGUUGAGGCUCGAAAGCGUGGGGAGCAAACAGGAUUAGAUACCCUGGUAGUCCACGCCGUAAACGA